rnacentral:piRNA from 1 species
UGUGAAUUACAGUAAAGCUGC